rnacentral:rRNA from 1 species
CUGGCGGCAGGCCUAACACAUGCAAGUCGAACGGUAGCACAGAGGAGCUUGCUCCUUGGGUGACGAGUGGCGGACGGGUGAGUAAUGUCUGGGAAACUGCCCGAUGGAGGGGGAUAACUACUGGAAACGGUAGCUAAUACCGCAUAACGUCGCAAGACCAAAGAGGGGGACCUUCGGGCCUCUUGCCAUCGGAUGUGCCCAGAUGGGAUUAGCUAGUAGGUGGGGUAACGGCUCACCUAGGCGACGAUCCCUAGCUGGUCUGAGAGGAUGACCAGCCACACUGGAACUGAGACACGGUCCAGACUCCUACGGGAGGCAGCAGUGGGGAAUAUUGCACAAUGGGCGCAAGCCUGAUGCAGCCAUGCCGCGUGUAUGAAGAAGGCCUUCGGGUUGUAAAGUACUUUCAGCGAGGAGGAAGGUGUUGUGGUUAAUAACCGCAGCAAUUGACGUUACUCGCAGAAGAAGCACCGGCUAACUCCGUGCCAGCAGCCGCGGUAAUACGGAGGGUGCAAGCGUUAAUCGGAAUUACUGGGCGUAAAGCGCACGCAGGCGGUCUGUCAAGUCGGAUGUGAAAUCCCCGGGCUCAACCUGGGAACUGCAUCCGAAACUGGCAGGCUAGAGUCUUGUAGAGGGGGGUAGAAUUCCAGGUGUAGCGGUGAAAUGCGUAGAGAUCUGGAGGAAUACCGGUGGCGAAGGCGGCCCCCUGGACAAAGACUGACGCUCCAGGUGCGAAAGCGUGGCGAG